AUAGGGAACAGAAAUAUAGAUUAUCAUUGGAGUUAACACUAAAACUAAAUUUCUAAAAUAGAAAUCACGAGGACUCACUAGGGCUCAUUGUUUUAUAUUAUUAAUAGGUAAUGAGAUAGGUGGACUUGCUAUUGAGGGAGACAUAAACGAUUUUGAGAAAUUUGAAGAAGGUAUAUUAUAUAUGUAAAUUUAAUUUUGCAUUUCAUUGGCCUGAAAUUGAUAGUUUAACCUUCAUGUGCAAUUGAAUUAAUGUGUGGUUUUGAUAUAUCUUUCACCAAAGGAGUUUGCUCAAGCUAAUACUAUAGACCUGGACAUGAAAUGGUAACAUAUUCUGUACUGCCUAUGCUUAUUUACUGUUCUUGGAUUCACUGCCUUUGCUUUGCUUAUUCACUGCCUUUGUUUAGUUUAUUGGAUUUAGUUAUGUUAAAUCUGUUUUGGGGUCUGUUCUGCCAUCUAGAUAUGGUAUUAUUCAUAUUAAGUUAACUGUGUAAUUCUAUUUCAUAAUUGCUGCAAGGUGGUUUAAUGUAUAUGUUGCUCUCUAGUUGUUGCUGCAAGAAUGUAUAUGUUGCUCUGCUUUGUAUAUAUGCUCUGAUGCUUUGUAUAUAGGCCAUAUAAUCUUGACGAAUCCACUGAACCCUGAAAUGAGUGACUAUGGAAAUGUUGCCAGGUCGUGUGAUAUUUGGAUUGCUGAUUGCCAGAAGUUCUUGCAUAGCUAGGUUCAUUUAUAUAUCAGUAUAAUUGGAUUUGCUAAAUCUUGAUUUAGCAGUAUAAUUGUAAAGCAAGCUUUACAAAUCAAUUUCAUUAUAGAAUGGUCUGUGCUCUAAAUCUGGUGUCAUGGAUUAACACAUCCUUUUUUUUGUUUUUUAAAUGCAGAUGAGUUUCUGAAAUGUCAUGGAUUGGGGAAGGGACAAGAGGAGGUGUUUUGGCCAGUAGUCUUGAAGUUUUCAGUUUCAUUAUAGAAUGGCCUGUGCUCUGAAUCUGGUGUCAUGGGUUAACACAUCUUUUUUUUGUUUUUUAAAUGCAGAUGAGUUUCUGAAAUGUCAUGGAUUGGGGAAGGGACAAGAGGAGGUGUUUUGGCCAGUAGUCUUGAAGUUUUCAGUUUCAUUAUAGAAUGGCCUGUGCUCUGAAUCUGGUGUCAUGGGUUAACACAUCUUUUUUUUGUUUUUUAAAUGCAGAUGAGUUUCUGAAAUGUCAUGGAUUGGGGAAGGGACAAGAGGAGGUGUUUUGGCCAGUAGUCUUGAAGUUUUCAGUUUCAUUAUAGAAUGGCCUGUGCUCUGAAUCUGGUGUCAUGGGUUAACACAUCUUUUUUUUGUUUUUUAAAUGCAGAUGAGUUUCUGAAAUGUCAUGGAUUGGGGAAGGGACAAGAGGAGGUGUUUUGGCCAGUAGUCUUGAAGUUUUCAGUUUCAUUAUAGAAUGGCCUGUGCUCUGAAUCUGGUGUCAUGGGUUAACACAUCUUUUUUUUGUUUUUUAAAUGCAGAUGAGUUUCUGAAAUGUCAUGGAUUGGGGAAGGGACAAGAGGAGGUGUUUUGGCCAGUAGUCUUGAAGUUUUCAGUUUCAUUAUAGAAUGGCCUGUGCUCUGAAUCUGGUGUCAUGGGUUAACACAUCUUUUUUUUGUUUUUUAAAUGCAGAUGAGUUUCUGAAAUGUCAUGGAUUGGUGAAGGGACCAGAGGAGUUGUUUUGGCCAGUAGUAUUGAUGUUUUCAGUUUCAUUAUAGAAUGGUCUGUGCUCUGAAUCUGGUGUCAUGGAUUAACACAUCUUUUUUUUGUUUUUUAAAUGCAGAUGAGUUUCUGAAAUGUCAUGGAUUGGUGAAGACUGAAGAGGAUCAGAGGAGUUGUUUUGGCCAGUAGUAUUGAUGCUUUCAGUUUCUUUCAUUAAGUAUUUAACAUUUAAGUGUAAAAGACUUGAGUCUAAUUGUGUAUGGCUACUGUAUCUGUAUGCUUAAUGCUUGAAGCCUACUGUUAUGCUAUUUGCAACUGCCAGAAUUUACAUUGAGCCUUGAGGGACCA
rnacentral:lncRNA from 1 species